GGGAACUCAAAGGAGACUGCCAGUGAUAAACCGGAGGAAGGUGGGGAUGACGUCAAGUCAUCAUGGCCCUUACGAGUAGGGCUACACACGUGCUACAAUGGCAUAUACAAAGAGAAGCGACCUCGCGAGAGCAAGCGGACCUCAUAAAGUAUGUCGUAGUCCGGAUCGGAGUCUGCAACUCGACUCCAUGAAGUCGGAAUCGCUAGUAAUCGUGGAUCAGAAUGCCACGGUGAAUACGUUCCCGGGCCUUGUACACACCGCCCGUCACACCAUGGGAGUGGGUUGCAAAAGAAGUAGGUAGCUUAAC
rnacentral:rRNA from 1 species